AGCAAUAUAGUGUAGUAGACAGCACGUCAACUAGCUAUAGUUAAAGGCUAAGGUUCAAUUCCUUAUAUUGCCC